AGAGUUUGAGUUCUGGCUCAGGAGAAACGCUGGCGGCGCACAUAAGACAUGCAAGUCGAACGGAACUUAGAUUGAUGUUUACAUUGAACUAAGUUUAGUGGCGGGACUGGUGAGUAACACGUGAGCAACCUGCCCUUUUAGAGGGGGAUAACAUUGAGAAAUCAGUGCUAAUACCGCAUAAUGCAAUUCUUUCGCAUGAUAGAAUUGCCAAAGGAGAAAUCCGCUUAAGGAUGGGCUCGCGUCUGAUUAGCUAGUUGGUGGGGCAACGGCCUACCAAGGCGACGAUCAGUAGCCGAGCUGAGAGGCUCAACGGCCACAUUGGGACUGAGAUACGGCCCAGACUCCUACGGGAGGCAGCAGUCGGGAAUAUUGCACAAUGGAGGAAAAACCUCUGAUGCAGUGACGCCGCGUACAGGAAGAAGGUCUUUUGGAUUGUAAACUGUUGUCGAAAGGGAAGAAAAAGGACAGUACCUUUGGAGGAAGCUCCGGCAAACUACGUGCCAGCCGCGGC
rnacentral:rRNA from 1 species